rnacentral:rRNA from 1 species
GGCAUGCAAGUCGAACGAAUCCCCAGCAAUAGGGGGAAGUGGCGAAAGGGGCAGUAAGGCAUGGGUAACCUACCCCAGGGACUGGGAUAGCCUCCCUAACGGGAGGGUAAUACUGGGCGAUGUAGCGAGGUGGCAUCAUCUUGCUACGAAAUGAAUUUCGCCUUGGGAGGGGCCCAUGUGAUAUUAGCUAGUUGGUGAGGUAACGGCUCACCAAGGCCAAGAUGUCUAGCGGGUGUGAGAGCACGACCCGCGCCACUGGCACUGUGACACUGGCCAGACUCCUACGGGAGGCUGCAGUCGAGGAUCUUCGGCAAUGGGCGCAAGCCUGACCGAGCGACGCCGCGUGUGCGAUGAAGGCCUUCGGGUUGUAAAGCACUGUCGAGGGGGAUAAAGCCGAAAGGUUGAUAGAUCCCUGGAGGAAGCACGGGCUAAGUUCGUGCCAGCAGCCGCGGUAAGACGAACCGUGCGAACGUUGUUCGGAAUCACUGGGCUUAAAGGGCGCGUAGGCGGGAUGGACAGUCUAUGGUGAAAUCCUCCGGCUCAACCGGAGAACUGCCGUGGAUACUGCCAUUCUCGAGGGGUGUAGGGGCAUGGGGAACUCAGGGUGGAGCGGUGAAAUGCGUAGAUAUCCUGAGGAACGCCGGUGGCGAAAGCGCCGUGCUGGACACCUUCUGACGCUGAGGCGCGAAAGCCAGGGGAGCAAACGGGAUUAGAUACCCCGGUAGUCCUGGCCCUAAACGAUGGGUACUAGAUUGUGGACUGGACAUGGGUUCACAGUCGAAGCAAAAGUGUUAAGUACCCCGCCUGGGGAGUAUGGUCGCAAGGCUGAAACUCAAAGGAAUUGACGGGGGCUCACACAAGCGGUGGAGCAUGUGGCUUAAUUCGAGGCUACGCGAAGAACCUUAUCCUGGGCUUGACAUGUGCGAAAGCGGUUGGAAGUACCUUGCGGAACGUGGAGGGAACGGUAUCCAGUCCGGAACCAACUACAGUGCUGCAUGGCUGUCGUCAGCUCGUGUCGUGAGAUGUCGGGUUAAGUCCCAUACGAGCGAAACCCUUGUCUCCAGUUGCAGCGGGUAUGCCGGGACUCUGGAAGAGACUGCCGGUGUUCAAACCGGAGGAAAGGCGGGGGAUGGACGUCAAGUCCCUCCAUGGG